UUUCACAAAACCUAAAUGCCUAUACGUUCAGAAAGGGAAAAAAGAGAGAAAGGGGAACAGAGAGGGAGCAAAAGGGAAACGAGAAAUUGAUGAAAGGGAGAAGAGGGAUCAGGGAAGCCAGAGGAGAGGGUGACGACGGAAGGUGUCAUUACCGUCGCUGGCAUUGAAAUCGGAGGGGAAGCACCACGAAGAACAGAGAGACGCGCAUGAUAGAGGGAGAAGGUAGUGUCGCUACCGUGCCUGGUGAUCGUUGCGGAAGCUUCGAUCGCUAUUGUCCCUGCUAGGGUUACCACUGACGCCGAACAGAACAGGGGAGAGGAGCGCAAAUUGGAAGAGGAAAGGGAGCUCUGUUGCGGGCUCGUUGCCAAGAAAAGAAGAGGCGAUGCUGGUAGGGAUCGCCGCCGGUGUCAUCGCCGUCACUAUGGUUCGUGGUCACCACUGCCGUUGGUGAAGGACUAGGUUGCGUCCUAGCUGCCGGAGCCGCCAUCACCGUGACCUUGUUGCUUCGGGUCAACCAUGUCUCUGCCUCUGAUGUACCUUGUCGUGCCAUAUCCGUUGGAACUGCCGUGAUCGGAGCUUGUUAUUAGAGAAAGCAAUUUGUUGCCACCAUCUUUCAGUCUAGCCAGCAUCAUCAUCCUCUUUGUUCCAGUUCCAAUGCCAAUUUUCUGUUUCUUAAGCCAUUGUCAAUUUAUCUCCUGAGCAAUCACAAUUGGUGUUGAGGUCGUUGAUGUUGCUGCUGUUAUGCUAUAGCUAGUCACAAGAGUUUUACUGCUGCGGGAUUACGUUGAAAUUGUCGCUGCUGCUGUGAAUUCAAAAUAAGCGGGCUUAUAGUGGUUAAUUUGUGCGAGUUCAGCUAAUCGAGUAACACAGUUUUGGAGACGCAAUUUGAAGCUGUGAGCGAUUAGUAGGCUUUCUUUAUGGUUUUAAUUGCUUUCAUAGAGUACCCUCGCUGUUGUCCUUUGAGGUUUUAUUUUGACAGAGGGGUAGGUGUUGUAUUUGGGUUUAUAUGACUUCUUAUGUAUAAGAAUUACUAUUAAUAAUACUUAUGUGAUUGUUAUUAUUAUUUGCAA